UGUGUAGUUCUUAGAGAGAUAUUCUUUUGCCUCUUUGUUGUUUUAACCACACAAAAACCCUAAUGAACAAUAUCUUAUAAAGUUCCUUAUAUAGACAAAAGAAACCUAGUCAACAACUUGACUAAAUAUCUCACCCUUUCCACCUAAAGUGGCCGGCCCUCUUUGUGUUGUUUGGGCUUUGGGUUUUGAUUUAUUUCAAGUCAUCCAAUUCUUGAAUAAAAGCCCAAUGGGUUUAGGCCCAAUGGGCCCAAUUAAACCCGAACGUUUCUUUAAGCCCAAAAAGAUCUUUAUCGCUUUUACGAUUUCUUUAGACUUUCUAAAUUAAUCACAACACAUAAUUAAUCCAAUUAAUUGUUUCCAUCAUCCAUUAAUUACUCACUACAAUAGUGUAUUGGUGAACAAUCUUUUAGGUUCUAAUUAGCAAGGCAGUGAGGUGAUUGGCACCAAUCCAAUUGAUUAUAUUUAAUCCAAUCACUUAGUGAAUUAAAACUUCCUUUCAAUUUACCUUUCUUCUUUGAUGACUACAUUUAAUCAUCUAGAAGAACUCACAAGCUAUGAGUGACAUCUAACCAUAUGUCAUAGCUACCCAAGCUAAUGUAGAAGUUUAUUCGGAGAACCUAUUCAGUUGGAAUUACAAUGUAAUUCAAUCCUUCUCUAAAACAAUACUCUCAAUCACAUUACUAGGGUAUGGAUAUAUUAUGUCAAACCCCUAAUGUGAUUAUUCCUUCUUAUAUGAUUCAAUUGAGUCGUAUAGGAACGCUUUCCUUUAUUACGCUCGAUACUUCGGCCGAAGAUUCCCGAAUCAUAUCUUAGAGUAUUCUUCCUCUCUUAUCGAAGAUUAGAGAUCCCUUGUUGCGCAUACACUUGCCUUCAUGACUAAGUGGCUUAACCCCAAUCAUGCCGUGGACAUCCGCGGAUGGGAUGACUUUGACACAAUCAAAGAUUAAGUACUUAGCCAAAAGACAACGACGAUGCCUCAAGUCAAAGGACAACUUACAUUAUUCCAACCAUUAGAGUUACUUGCUUGACAUGUGAGUAGACCUCCAUGCAAGUACUCUCGUUCGAUUGCGUUCAGUGAACUCAUUCCCUUAAUGAGCACCUACAUACUUGUCCUAGUGUCACAACACGAAUGGAAUGAGACUUUCCAUCCUUCCAUUUGAAGCGGACACAGUAUGUACCGGUCUACGCAUUGUCAGUGUCCCUCCGACAAUCCAAUGACCAGGAACCUUUUUGGACAUUUGGUUAUGUGAAGAAGGUCUCUGUAAUCUAACAUCAUUAGAUUACUUCUUCAAUCCAUUGUCCAUGGAUACACUAUUUAGGACAUAUAUCGUUUAUUGAGAUAGUCCUAAUUCGUGUCUUUCCCUUUUGAUGUAUAAGACUCAUCUAUACAUCCAUUCAUUUGUCCUGAAAGGUUUCUUCCAAAGAUUGACUUUCAGGGCAUAUUUCCAACAAUCUCCCACUUGCACUAAAGUCAAUCACCAGUGUAUCUUAUACAUCUUGUUGAGAGAGCUUAUGCUCGUAGGUUAACUUGGUUAUGUAUAAAUCCUUUUUAUUUAAAAGGGAUUCACUUAUCAAAUGUUUCCAAAACAUUUGACGAUGUCUCUUUCUCGUGUUCGAAUACUUUGAUGAGACCUUGAUUCCGUGGCUUGAGCUAUGGCCCCAUUACGUCGUAGUAUCCUACUAACGACCUUAUGGUUUGGAUUCAAUCAUUGGUUCUAAAAGAACCCCUUCCAUUCAAAACACCUUUUGGAGUAGUUUUUAAAACUAUAUAUCAAUAUAUAUUUCGUUUGUAUACUUUAUACAAACUUUGCUCCAAGCUUGAGACCAUUGUAGUACAAUACUAACAAUUCAUUCAUAUGAUUAGUGCUUCAUCCAUUAUGAAGUUCCAUUUGUUAAAAUGGAUUAUUUUCACUUUGGUUAACAACCUAAGUGAAUGCACGCUUCCAGAGUCCCACUAUGAUGUUUCUUUCUUAAAGGCAAUAAUACUCUAUCAUUUGCUUUGGUUCUGAUCCUGGGAUAUAGUAAUAUCUUAAAGUGAUAAACCCUUUGGUUUCUUCAUCUUUGGAUAUCUACUUCACAAGUCAACACAUGUGUCCAUUUUGUGAUUUUAUGACACAUUCAUUAUAAGGGUUAUGAAAGUGAUUUCCUAUCACAUAGGAAAAUGCUUUCUUAAAUCUACAACAUUUGAGAUUUUAAUUCCCAUAUAACAUUAUUGAGAUAGCCUUGCUAUAUCAAUAAGUCCAAUUUCAAGUCUAUACUUCAAAAUUGACCAUGUCAUGUUUUGUCAUUUCUCGAGUAACAUCUAUGUUUUAUUAAGUCUAUCAAAUAGACUUUAUUCACAUCUUGUUGCUCAAAUUAUAACAUCACUCCCACUGGCCUUGUUGUAACUUAGCAUUCAUUCAAACAUAACAUUUAUAUUUUCUUGAUUUGAAUGCAUAUUCCUCCCAUUUACUUAGAAGAAUCAUACACAAAAGAAUUCCUUCUCAAGUAAUUCCAAAAUUGUGUGACUUGCUUCAUUAAGUCUAUUCAUUUAAAUUAUAUGGUGUCAUACACCAUACUUCAAGUUUUAGUCAUACUAAGACCUUUAAUGUAUUCAUAUAAGAAUUAUCCAAGUCUUUAGUGGAAGCAAGGCUCCUACUAAGGAUAUAGAAAGUCAACCAUUCCUUCUAGGUGGUUGAUAUAAUUCUUUAUCAAAACUACAUAGAGCAAUAUUGUUACAUGAGAUGUUGAAUUUGGAUUGUCUUGUUGUUAAACCAUAUGUUGUGACUCAUUUUGAAACUAUUCCCUUUUGUUUCAUCAACUUGUCCAUAUGCUUAGUUAGCUUGUUCUCUUAAAAGAGAAUGAUGGACAACUCCCAACAUAUAACCAUUUUAUGCUAGGUUGACGAAACCAACAUUCAAAGACUAUUCUUUAGAAUGUUACACAACAUAGAAUUUUAAUGUUUAAAGAGCUUGAGUCCUUUUAACAAUUAAAAUUACAAACUCUUAAUAACAGUCAAGUACUAUUAUUCUUUAGACAACUAUAAACCAAUUACAUUCAAGUUUAUAUCCAUUUUCACACCUCCCACUAUUUCUCAUGACUUUAAUGAGAAAUCAUUUCAUACAUUCAAAAAUGUAUAAAAGUGGAUUUAUAUUGGUAGAAGACAUUGUGUAGUAGCUUUAAAACAUUUCAAGCUUAUUUGUUUCCAUCUUCACUAAGUUAAUGUCUUUGUUUAUUAAGUGACUAAAGUCUUUAAACAUUUUAUAGAUUUAGACACUUCUUUCUUGGUUUAAUCACUAACACAAUUGACAUUUUAAAACCUUUGAAGAAUGCCCAAUUAGUUGUUCAAAAAUACUAAUUGAAUCAAGAGUGAUCUUGAUCAUUGUGUUUCAAGUGACAACCAUAUAAGAAACAAUUUUCUUAUUUACUUAUAUCAUUAUAAUGUGAUCUUCCUUUUCUUCAAGAAAGGAGUCUCUAGACUUUUGUCAAUUCAUAUAGAACUCAUAGGUAGACAAAUGGAACCAAAUCUAAAGAUUCAUUGUAUCCUUUUAUGUCCUACAUGUGAGAUCUAUCCAUAAUUAAUAAAUCUAAAGUUUGGUUAUCACAUUACAAUAGGUGAUAUAACUCUUGUAUCUCAUCUAGGAUACUUCAAGACAAUUUUCAAUUCAUAACACUACUUUAAGGAAAUAGUAUAUUUAAAAAAGGCAUACUUCACAUUACAUUAAUAUGAUAGUUCAAACAUUCAUAAUGUUUAAUACAAAAAGUAUUAGCUCUAUACAUUUAGAGACUAAUUUAAAUACCUUUAUACAUUUAGACAUUAAUAGUGGUCUUCCAUCAUAUGAAGCCACAUAAUAAGUUCUUAUCAAAAUAAGAAAGUUUAAAGACAAUCUUUAAUGCCUAACAAACUUCCUAAGUAGUAAGCAAAAAAAAAAUAUAGUGGCCGAACCCUUCACCACUUUUUCCUUGCUUGUUCAUCUUCUACUUGGCUUCUCCACCUAUAUACAAUUAUACAAGUGAUUAGCUCUUUAU
rnacentral:lncRNA from 1 species